AUGGCGGGUCAUGCGGCGGCGGGGGUGUGCGCGGCGCCGAUGCAGGCGACGUCGCACGGCGCGUUCCAGGGCGACAACCCGCUGGACUACGCGCUGCCGCUGGCCAUCCUGCAGAUCUGCCUCGUCGUCGUCGUCACCCGGGGCCUCGCCUACCUCCUCCGCCCGCUCCGCCAGCCGCGCGUCAUCGCCGAGAUCAUCGGUGGAGUCCUGCUGGGCCCGUCGGCGUUGGGCCGGAGCAGCAAGUUCUUGCACGCCGUCUUCCCGGCCAAGAGCCUGCCGGUGCUGGACACGCUGGCCAACCUCGGCUUGCUCUUCUUCCUGUUCCUCGUCGGCCUCGAGCUCGACAUCGCCGCCAUCCGCCGCACCGGCAAGAAGGCCCUCGCCAUCGCGCUCGCUGGCAUCUCCGUCCCGUUCGCGCUCGGCAUCGGCACGUCGUUCGCCUUCCGCGCCACCAUCGUCAAGGGCGCUCCACAGGCACCGUUCCUCGUCUUCAUGGGUGUCGCGCUCUCCAUCACCGCCUUCCCGGUGCUCGCUCGCAUCCUGGCCGAGCUGAAGCUUCUCACCACCGACAUCGGCCGCAUGGCCAUGUCCGCAGCGGCGGUCAAUGACGUCGCCGCCUGGAUCCUGUUGGCCCUCGCUGUUGCACUCUCUGGAGACGGCUCGCCGAUCAUCUCGCUCUGGGUGCUCCUCACAGCUACCGGCUUUGUCAUCGCCGUUUGCGUUCUCCUCCGGCCGUUGUUGGCGUGGAUGGCGCACCGGUCUCCCGAGGGUGAGCCGGUCAAGGAGGUGUACAUUUGUGCCACCCUCGCCAUCGUCCUCGCUGCCGGCUUCGUCACCGAUGUCAUCGGCAUCCACGCGCUGUUCGGGGCGUUCAUGGUCGGCAUCGUCGUCCCCAAGGACGGGCCGUUUGCCGGCGUGCUCAUCGAGAAGGUUGAGGACCUCAUCUCGGGGCUCUUCCUCCCGCUCUACUUCGUCUCCAGUGGCCUCAAGACGGACGUGGCCACUAUCCGGGGAGCCAAGUCGUGGGGCCUAUUAGUGCUCGUCAUCCUCAACGCCUGCCUCGGCAAGAUCGGCGGCACUGUGCUCGCGUCACUGAUCGUCAAGAUCCCCGUCAGGGAGGCGGUCGCGCUGGGGUUCCUGAUGAACACCAAGGGGCUCGUGGAGCUCAUCGUCCUCAACAUCGGCAGGGACCGCAAGGUGCUCAACGACGAGUCCUUCGCCAUCAUGGUGCUCAUGGCCCUAUUCACCACCUUCAUCACGACGCCGAUCGUCAUGGCCAUCUACAAGCCCGCGCGGCCAUCGGCGCCGUACAAGCGCCGCACCGUGGAGGGCGGCGCACCGGCGGACGCGGACAGCGAGCUGCGCGUGCUCGCCUGCUUCCACAGCAACCGCAACAUCCCGACGCUGCUCAACCUCGUGGAGUCGACCCGGGGCACGGGGCGGCACCGCCUCGCCAUGUACGCCAUGCACCUGGUGGAGCUCUCGGAGCGGUCGUCGGCCAUCUCCAUGGUGCACCGCACGCGCCGCAACGCCAUGCCCUUCUUCAACAGCGGGGACAAGACGGAGCAGAUGGUGGUGGCCUUCGAGGCGUUCCAGCAGCUGAGUGCCGUGAGGGUGAAGCCCAUGACGGCCAUCUCGGACCUCGAGACCAUCCACCGGGACGUCAUCGACAGCGCCGCUGAGAAGCGGGCGGCCGUCGUCAUCAUGCCGUACCACAAGCUGCUCCAGCACGACGGCUCCUUCCACUCGCUCGGCUCCCAGUACCACGCCGUCAACAAGCGCGUGCUCCGGGGCGCGCCAUGCUCCGUCGCCAUCCUCGUCGACCGCGGGCUCGGCGGCCACUCCCAGGUCGCCGCCAAGAACGUGGAGUUCUCUGUGGCCAUGCUCUUCUUCGGCGGGGCGGACGACCGUGAGGCGCUGGCGUACGCGACGCGCAUGUCGGAGCACCCUGGCGUCGCUGUGACUGUGACACGCUUCCGGCCCAGCCGCCCAUCGUCCGGCGACGCAGCCGACGAGGCGGCCAUGGAGGCGUUCAAGGGCAAGGUCGAGGCCGUGAAGGACGGGUCGGCGAUGUACGAGGACGUAGAGGCGUCGGCCAAGGAGGAGGUGCUCCAGGCGAUCAACUCGCUGUCCAAGUCCAACAUGUUCGUGGUGGGGAGGAUGCCGCUGACGGAGCCGCUGGUGGAGAGGCCCGAGGAGCUGGGCCCCGUGGGGAGCUACCUGGCGUCGUCGGAGUUCAAGACAUCGGCGUCCGUGCUGGUGAUCAAGAGGUACGACCCGGCGACGAACCCGGCCAGCAAGAGGUUCGACCCCAAGGCGAGGCCGCCGGUGGCGACGGACGUGGAGGACGAGGAGAUGGGCGGCGCCGGUGGCAGCGCGAGCGUGGUGCCCGUGCCGUGGACGCCGCAGAACGACCUCGCAUGA
rnacentral:rRNA from 1 species